rnacentral:lncRNA from 1 species
CAUGUAUCUGUGAAUGUAUUGUUCCUAUUAGCCCUGUGUAAUGGGCUUUAAAAUUUAAAAAGCCUCAGCUAUAUUUUAGGACAGGCAUCAUGAUCCAUCUGUAUCUUUCAAAUGAACAAUGGUCAGAAUUUUAAGUACCUGGCCAUAACGCAUUAUAGGUUGAUUAGGACAGGGCAAAUCUGAAAAGAUUUACAGCCUGGGUUUAGACAGUUACUUGCCCAAAAGUACAAGUCUCCAGUCUUGAAGCAGAGUUCAGGAUUUUGCCACAAGAGUCCUAUUUGCAAAUCAGGGCUGCUGUAUUUUUCCAUAAAAAAAAUCUCUUGAGCACAGUAACUUUUGAAACAAGAUGUGGUACUUUUUUUCUUAUUUGUCCCAUUGAAAGGCAAAUUGAAAGGCCAUUGAAAGGCAUCAAAUUCUGAGGGUCUUACCAGCUGGAUUUAUCGGAGUAUCCAUAGACAAAUGAAUUGGUGAUUUCCUGGUCCCAUGUGGUGGGUUAGCCUUCACUAACAACAAAACUCAUGCCCAGCUGUUCUCCACAAUAGGACAGAGGGAGAAAAUGGGAUGGAAAAGCUUGUGAAAAACUUUGGGAAAAAUCAAUUUAAUUUAUUGGCAAUUAAAAAAAAAAAAAAAAGAUCCACAUAAUAAGAACAAAGAAAAACAUUAAAAAACAAAUUCCUGCCCCUUCCCCAGGCCCAACACCCCCUUUUCACUCCCACCCCCUUCCCCCCCCAGCAGCACAGGGGAUGGGAUGGGAUGGGAUGGGAUGGGAUGGGAUGGGAUGGGAUGGGAUGGGAUGGGAUGGGAUGGGAUGGGGGCUGUGCUCAGCCCCCCCAGCCUCUCUCUGCCUCCCAUUCCUCCUCAUCCAUGGCCCUGCCCCAGCGGGGGCCCUGCCCUGGGUUGCAGCCCUUCAGGAACACUCUGCUCCCGUGGGGGCACCCCACGGCCGCAGCUGCCUCAGGAAAUGUCCCCCUGCUGCAGCGUGGGCCCUCCCCGGGCUGCAGGGUGGAGAUCUGCUCCAGCGGGGGCUCUGCAGGGCUGCCGGGGAAUCCCUGCUGCCUGUGGGCCUGGAGCCCCUCCUGCCCUCCUCCUCCUGGGGCCUGGGCCCUCUGCUGCUUCUUCCUCGCCCUGGGCCUCCUCCUCAGCCUGUGCCUGUUGUGCCCUUUCAGAAAUCUGUUUUCCCCGAGGUGCCGCCAGCUUGGUGCUGGGCUCAGCUGGGCCCUGGCACCGGGCUGUUGGAGCCGGCUGGAACUGUCUGGGUCUGACAUGGGGCAAUCCCUGCCAGGACCUGGGCAUGGACACACAAUCCAUCACCGAGAAAUAGGAGAAAUAGCAAUUGAAAGCUACCUCUGAAAGGGGAUGUAUUGCUGACUCUGGAGCUGAUAAACAGGACUGGAAAUGCUGGAGACCCUGACUGCAUGUCAGUCUGCAAGUGAGCAGACUGGGAGUUUUGGCUCUUGAGGCUCUGAAGCUACUCCCUGACUCCAUCCUUCUUGUCAGCAGAGUUCUCAAGAAACUCUGAACUAUCAGAAACUUUGGUACCCUGGUGGACCAGCAAGUGGGAUGGAAUGUUUGAGAUAGGCAAAGUGGUAAGGUGAAUGUGAGAAACUUGUAAAAUUAACCAUCUCUUUGAAAUUGCACAAUUCUGUCAAAUCAGCAAAUUCUGAUAAUAAAGAAAACUUCAAACUUAUGCUGGUUAUACUU